UUUUUUCGAACAACCUUGAAUUAAAUUACUGCAAUAAUAAUAAAAAUAAUAUAUAUAUGCUCAACUCUAAUAUCUUUUUCUUCGAAUCGAGCUCGAGAAAGAGAUCGUUAAUUCUCGAAUGACCGUCUUAUCUCUUCCUCCCCUCCACGGAUACGCUUAGAAAAAUAAGCAAUAUUGGAGAAUAAAAGAGAGGGAGAGAAGGUAAAAGAAAGAGAAGAUAUAUAAUAUUCAUCGGAAAGAAAACGUUUUCGAGGAGAAAAAACGCGAGAAACGGAGGGGAAAUACGUUAGUAACUCUCGAACUAUGUUUAAAGAGAGGGGGGAGAGCUCGUAAAAGCUGGUCGCGCAAAGUUUUGAUGAACAACACGAGAUAAGUCGUAAGAUACCUCGUGGCCGGAUAAUCAAAUAUAUCCCCUUCCCUGCAAUUUCUCCUCGACAAACUCGCGGAAUCGAGUCGAGUCGAGUCGAGUCGAGUCGAGUCGAGUCGAGUCGAAUGGAAAAAAAAGAAAGGAAGGAGCGAGGAAAUCGACGCGCAUUCGCCUUCGAGGCCGGAAACGGGAACGAAACCGGAAGUAGUAGGCGAGUGAACCUCUUUCUUUUUUUUUUUUUUUUUUUUUUUAUUCUCUCCCUCGUGUUACGACGGAGAAUCAACAUUCGAGCGAUCGAAAAGUUAAAAUGUUGUUUCGAUUACUCGGCGACUUGGAGCCUGUUGAUAUUGGUAACUCGGCGAAAAGAGCAGAUCCUGUGUUAAAUAAGCAAUGGUGGAGGAAAGUAACUUGAUGUUUGCCACUCUCGUGAUUCGUUCGGCAAGAGAGAGAGAGAGAGAGAAAGAAAGAGAAAGAGAGCGUGUAAUCAAAGUUAGCCUCGUGAGAAGUGAAGGACCCGCUUUUUAUACAGUUGAAAUUAGAU